rnacentral:rRNA from 1 species
AACGUAGGAGACGAACGUUAUCCGGAGUUACUGGGCGUAAAGGGCGUGUAGGCGGUUUGUUAAGUCUGGCGUGAAAGCUCUCGGCUAAACCGGGAGAGGUCGUUGGAUACUGGCGAACUAGAGGAUGGUAGAGGCGUGUGGAAUUCCUGGUGUAGCGGUGAAAUGCGCAGAUAUCAGGAGGAACACCAAUGGCGAAGGCAGCUCGCUGGGACGGUACUGACGCUGAGGCGCGAAAGCGUGGGGAGCAAACAGG